AGAGUUUGAUCCUGGCUCAGGAUGAACGCUAGCUACAGGCUUAACACAUGCAAGUCGAGGGGCAGCAUGAACUUAGCUUGCUAAGUUUGAUGGCGACCGGCGCACGGGUGAGUAACACGUAUCCAACCUGCCGAUGACUCGGGGAUAGCCUUUCGAAAGAAAGAUUAAUACCCGAUGGCAUAGUUCUUCCGCAUGGUAGAACUAUUAAAGAACUUCGGUCAUCGAUGGGGAUGCGUUCCAUUAGGUUGUUGGCGGGGUAACGGCCCACCAAGCCUUCGAUGGAUAGGGGUUCUGAGAGGAAGGUCCCCCACAUUGGAACUGAGACACGGUCCAAACUCCUACGGGAGGCAGCAGUGAGGAAUAUUGGUCAAUGGGCGAGAGCCUGAACCAGCCAAGUAGCGUGAAGGAUGACUGCCCUAUGGGUUGUAAACUUCUUUUAUAAAGGAAUAAAGUCGGGUAUGGAUACCCGUUUGCAUGUACUUUAUGAAUAAGGAUCGGCUAACUCCGUGCCAGCAGCCGCGGUAAUACGGAGGAUCCGAGCGUUAUCCGGAUUUAUUGGGUUUAAAGGGAGCGUAGAUGGAUGUUUAAGUCAGUUGUGAAAGUUUGCGGCUCAACCGUAAAAUUGCAGUUGAUACUGGAUAUCUUGAGUGCAGUUGAGGCAGGCGGAAUUCGUGGUGUAGCGGUGAAAUGCUUAGAUAUCACGAAGAACUCCGAUUGCGAAGGCAGCUCACUGGACUGCAACUGACACUGAUGCUCGAAAGUGUGGGUAUCAAACAGGAUUAGAUACCCUGGUAGUCCACACAGUAAACGAUGAAUACUCGCUGUUUGCGAUAUACAGUAAGCGGCCAAGCGAAAGCGUUAAGUAUUCCACCUGGGGAGUACGCCGGCAACGGUGAAACUCAAAGGAAUUGACGGGGGCCCGCACAAGCGGAGGAACAUGUGGUUUAAUUCGAUGAUACGCGAGGAACCUUACCCGGGCUUGAAAGUUACUGACGAUUCUGGAAACAGGAUUUCCCUUCGGGGCAGGAAACUAGGUGCUGCAUGGUUGUCGUCAGCUCGUGCCGUGAGGUGUCGGGUUAAGUCCCAUAACGAGCGCAACCCCUACCGUUAGUUGCCAUCAGGUCAAGCUGGGCACUCUGGCGGGACUGCCGGUGUAAGCCGAGAGGAAGGUGGGGAUGACGUCAAAUCAGCACGGCCCUUACGUCCGGGGCUACACACGUGUUACAAUGGGGGGUACAGAAGGCAGCUACCUGGUGACAGGAUGCUAAUCCCAAAAGCCUCUCUCAGUUCGGAUCGAAGUCUGCAACCCGACUUCGUGAAGCUGGAUUCGCUAGUAAUCGCGCAUCAGCCACGGCGCGGUGAAUACGUUCCCGGGCCUUGUACACACCGCCCGUCAAGCCAUGGGAGCCGGGGGUACCUGAAGUGCGUAACCGCGAGGAGCGCCCUAGGGUAAAACUGGUGACUGGGGCUAAGUCGUAACAAGGUAGCCGUACCGGAAGGUGCGGCUG
rnacentral:rRNA from 1 species